ACACGACUACAUUAGAUAUCCGCGUAGUCCUAGCCGUAAACGAUACUCGCUAGGUGUCGGCCACGGUGCGACCGUUGUCGGUGCCGUAGGGAAGCCGUGAAGCGAGCCACCUGGGAAGUACGGCCGCAAGGCUGAAACUUAAAGGAAUUGGCGGGGGAGCACAACAACGGGUGGAGCUUGCGGUUUAAUUGGAUUCAACGCCGGAAAUCUUACCGGGACCGACAGCAACAUGAAGGCCAAGCUGAAGACUUUGCCGGAUUAGCUG
rnacentral:rRNA from 1 species